rnacentral:piRNA from 1 species
UGACGUGCAACGUGUGCUUGUUGAUUGA